AGGUUGGCUCAGAAGCAGCCAUCCUUUAAAGAGUGCGUAACAGCUCACUAGUCGAAUGACUCUGCGCCGAUAAUUUACCGGGGCUAAGCAUACUACCGAAGCUAUGGAUCCCAAGGGAUGGUAGGGGAGCGUUCCAUGAACGGAGAAGUACGACCGAAAGGACGUGUGGAGAUCAUGGAAGAGAGAAUGCCGGUGUGAGUAGCGGAACGUGGGUGAGAAUCCCACGCACCGAAAACCCAAGGUUUCCAGAGGAAGGUUCGUCCGCUCUGGGUAAGUCGGGACCUAAGGCGAGGCCGAAAGGCGUAGUCGAUGGACAACAGGUAGAGAUUCCUGUACCCGUAUAUAUGUGAAGGAAUGACGGAGAGAGGAAGCUGCAGCCAGCGGCUGGAAGAGCUGGUGCAAGCGAGAUAUCGGGAUGGCAGGCAAAUCCACCAUCCGAAACGAGAAGGCGUGAAGCGUACGGAAAGCUACGGCGAGUACGGAAGGCAGUGGAGGAACUUCCAAGAAAAGUUUCUAACGUUAAGUAUAUAUGGCCCGUACCGAAAAUGGACACACAUGGGUGAGGAGAGAAUCCUAAGGUGAGCGAGAGAACUAUAGCUAAGGAACUCUGCAAAAUGACUCCGUAACUUAGGGAGAAGGAGUGCUCAUAGAGAUAUGAGCCGCAGUGAAACGGCCCAAGCGACUGUUUACCAAAAACACAGCUCUCUGCUAAGUCGAAAGACGACGUAUAUGGGGUGACGCCUGCCCGGUGCUGGAAGGUUAAGGGGAUGUGUCAGCGCAAGCGAAGCACUGAAUUGAAGCCCCAGUAAACGGCGGCCGUAACUAUAACGGUCCUAAGGUAGCGAAAUUCCUUGUCAGGUAAGUUCUGACCCGCACGAAAGGCGUAACGAUUUGGGCGCUGUCUCAGCUGUAGACUCGGUGAAGUCUUAGUACCUGUGAAGAUGCAGGUUACCCGCGACUAGACGGAAAGACCCCAUGGAGCUUCACUGCAGGUUGAUAUUGGGAUUUGAUGCAGCAUGUACAGGAUAGGUAGGAGGCAAAGAGAUGGAUACGCCAGUAUUCAAGGAGCCGCUGUUGGGAUACUACCCCUGUUGUAUUGGAUUUCUAACCGGACGACGUAGAACCGUUGACGGGACAGUGUCAGUCGGGCAGUUUGACUGGGGCGGUCGCCUCCCAAAGAGUAACGGAGGCGCCCAAAGAUACCCUCAGCUUGGAUGGAAACCAAGCGCAGAGUGCAAAGGCAAAAGGGUGUUUGACUGCGAGACCCACAAGUCGAGCAGGGACGAAAGUCGGGCUUAGUGAUCCGGCGGUGCUGAAUGGAAAGGCCGUCGCUCAACGGAUAAAAGCUACCCUGGGGAUAACAGGCUGAUCUCCCCCAAGAGUUCACAUCGACGGGGAGGUUUGGCACCUCGAUGUCGGCUCAUCGCAUCCUGGAGCGGAAGUACGUUCCAAGGGUUGGGCUGUUCGCCCAUUAAAGCGGUACGCGAGCUGGGUUCAGAACGUCGUGAGACAGUUCGGUCCCUAUCUGUCGUGGGCGCAGGAAAUUUGAGAAGAGCUGUCCUCAGUACGAGAGGACCGGGAUGGACGCAUCAAUGGUGGACCAGUUGUCACGCCAGUGGCAUAGCUGGGUAGCUAAAUGCGGAAGGGAUAAACGCUGAAGGCAUCUAAGUGUGAAACCCACUUCAAGAUGAGAUUUCCCAUUGCGCAAGCAAGUAAGACCCCUUAAAGACGAUAAGGUAGAUAGGUCAGGAGUGUAAGCAUGGUGACAUGUUAAGCGGACUGAUACUAAUAGGUCGAGGGCUUGACCGA
rnacentral:rRNA from 1 species